UUUCCCGUAGGGAUUCUAGUCACAGUCGAAGGAGGCUCAGUUUCGACACGCCACCGCUGCAAUUCAAACUGCGAAAUUCAAUUGCAGUAAUUAGACACUUAAAUUUACGUAAUUGUGACACCAAUCACGCAAAUUUUUGUAGGCAUUAGAUUAAACAAAGAAAUCUCUUUAAAAUGGAUCACAUUUUACGAAGAUAUAAUAGAUUUAUUUUUUAAAACAGCGAUUCUAAGUCAAACGGGGCUCAGUUUCGAAACGCCACCGCUGCAAUUCAAACUGCAAAAUUCAAAACGACACUAAACAUUAACACAAAAUUUACGUAAAUGUGUUACCAAUCACGAAAAUUUUUGUAUGAAAGAGAUUAAACAAAGAAAGGUCUUCAAAAUGGAUCUCAUGAAGAUAUACUAAUAGCUGUAUUUUUUACACAGCGAUUCAAAGUCGAACGGGCUCACUUUCCCGGCUUGAUGUGUGUCAACCCAAAAGCUAUAGUUUGCAGGCCUAACAAGAAGCGAAUUUGGUGGCAGUUUUUACGACUGUCCGGCGGCCUAUGUUUACAUGUAGAUCCCCACCCAACGUGAACAGAAAACGUCCGGUUUGUUUGUUUACGUUUAAAAGCAAAUAAGUUUUACUACUGUACUGGUUUAGACAAACAAAUUGGUUCUUUACACAUUUUUUGAUGCCUGUAGAAGUUGAAAAGGAAGACGAAGCUGAGACUUUCACAUUCCAGGCCAAGAUUGCUCAGCUUAUGAGCUUGAUUAUCAACACAUUCUAUAGUUGAUCUCCAACUCCUCAAAUGUCCUAGACAAUAUCUGUUAUGAAUCCGUGACUGACCCAAGCAAGUUGGACAGCGGUAAGGUUCUUAUUAGAAUCAAGAUUGUCCUCAACAAGAAUGACUCACUCUUAUGGAUACUGGUAUUGGCAUGAUCAUAAGGCUGAUUUGGUUAACAACUUGGCCACUAUUGCCAAGUUUGGAAGUAAAGCUUUCGUGGAAGGCCUCUCUGCUGGAGCUGACAUCUCCAUGAUUGGUCAGUUUGGUGUGGGUUUCUACUCUGCUUAUCUG